rnacentral:rRNA from 1 species
GACGAACGCUGGCGGUGUGCUUAACACAUGCAAGUCGAACGGAAAGGCCCUGCUUUUGUGGGGUGCUCGAGUGGCGAACGGGUGAGUAACACGUGAGUAACCUGCCCUUGACUUUGGGAUAACUUCAGGAAACUGGGGCUAAUACCGGAUAGGAGCUCCUGCUGCAUGGUGGGGGUUGGAAAGUUUCGGCGGUUGGGGAUGGACUCGCGGCUUAUCAGCUUGUUGGUGGGGUAGUGGCUUACCAAGGCUUUGACGGGUAGCCGGCCUGAGAGGGUGACCGGCCACAUUGGGACUGAGAUACGGCCCAGACUCCUACGGGAGGCAGCAGUGGGGUAUAUUGCACAAUGGGCGGAAGCCUGAUGCAGCAACGCCGCGUGCGGGAUGACGGCCUUCGGGUUGUAAACCGCUUUCGCCUGUGACGAAGCGUGAGUGACGGUAAUGGGUAAAGAAGCACCGGCUAACUACGUG